GACGAACGCUGGCGGCGUGCUUAACACAUGCAAGUCGAACGGAAAGGCCCUGCUUUUGUGGGGUGCUCGAGUGGCGAACGGGUGAGUAACACGUGAGUAACCUGCCCUUGACUUUGGGAUAACUUCAGGAAACUGGGGCUAAUACCGGAUAGGAGCUCCUGCUGCAUGGUGGGGGUUGGAAAGUUUCGGCGGUUGGGGAUGGACUCGCGGCUUAUCAGCUUGUUGGUGGGGUAGUGGCUUACCAAGGCUUUGACGGGUAGCCGGCCUGAGAGGGUGACCGGCCACAUGGGGACUGAGAGACGGCCCAGACUCCUACGGGAGGCAGCAGUGGGGAAUAUUGCACAAUGGGCGGAAGCCUGAUGCAGCAACGCCGCGUGCGGGAUGACGGCCUUCGGGUUGUAAACCGCUUUCGCCUGGGACGAAGCGUGAGUGACGGUAAGGGGUAAAGAAGCACCGGCUAACUACG
rnacentral:rRNA from 1 species